UGACCUCGGAUCACGACGUGAUUACCCCGCUGAAUUUAAGCAUAUUAAAGCGGGAAAAAGAACACUAACAAGGAUUCCCCUAGUAAGCGGCGAGUGAACGGGGAAGAGCCCAACACCGAAUCCCUUGGCGCAAAGUCAACGGGAAAUGUGGUGUAAGGUAGCCCUUCGUGUCAGUCUAGGCGUCUCAAGUCCACCUGAUUGUGGCUCAAGCCCAGAGAGGGUGUAAGGCCCGUAGAGACGCUCCGACUGAUUCCUGGGUUUACCUACGAGUCGGCUUCUUGUUUGGGAAUGCAGGCCAAAGCGGGUGGUAAACUCCAUGCCAAGGCUAAAUACUGGCACGAGUCCGAUAGCGGACAAGUACCGUGAGGGAAAGUUGAAAAGAACUUUGAAGAGAGAGUUCAAUAGUACGUGAAACCGCUUAGAGGGCAAACGGAUGGUGCUCAUACUGGCCUGAGGAAUUCAACUGUGACGGUGGCUGGACGAGCUGGCGUUCCGAUCUCUCUUUUGGGACGGGCGUCGGUUUGGCUAUCAAGCUCCGACAUGGUGCACUUUCCUUGGUGCCUCCGCCACGACCGACGACACUGGCUACCCGCGGCUGGGGUAAGGUGACAAACUGCUUCGGCAAUUUGUGUUAUAGACCCCCGGCGUCGGACAUGGUUUGGCCAGGACGUCGAGCUUGCGGCGCCCGCUCCUUGUGGGCUCGCAUGUUGGCUAGCUUGGCUGCGCCGAUGCUUGCACUGGACAACCAGUACAGGUGACGGUUUGUGUCUUGUCUCUAGUUGGCGCUCUGCGAGUUUGGCGCCUAUAGUCUGUGGUGUACUUGUGGGUAGACUAUCCGAACCCGUCUUGAAACACGGACCAAGGAGUCUAACAUGUGCGCGAGUCAUGGGGAUUCUACGAAACCCAAAGGCGCAGUGAAAGUAAAGGCCUGCUUCUCGUAGGCUGAGGUGGAUCUCGUGCAUCGGGCGAUUGGCGAGCGCACCACCGGCCCGUCCUAUCUGUCUCUGUCAGUGGGGCGGCGCAAGAGCGUACACGUUGGGACCCGAAAGAUGGUGAACUAUGCUUGCGCAGCUCGAAGUCAGUGGAAACACUGAUGGAGGAGCGCAGCGUUUCUGACGUGCAAAUCGAUCGUCAACGUGAGUAUAGGGGCGAAAGACUAAUCGAACCAUCUAGUAGCUGGUUCCCUCCGAAGUUUCCCCUCAGGAUAGCUGGCACUCGGGAAACAGUUUUAUCCGGUAAAGCGAAUGAUUAGAGCAUUGGGUCGAAACGACCUCGACCUAUUCUCAAACUUUAAAUGGGUUAAGAUGCUCGUCUCGCUUAAUUGGAGGCGGGCUUCACCUCUCUAUAAACGUGAAUGUGAGUGCCCAGUGGGCCAUUUUUUGGUAAGCAGAACUGGCGCUGUGGGAUGAACCAAACGCGCGCGUUAAGGCGCCCAAUGCGGACGCUCAUGAGACACCACAAAAGGUGUUGGUCGAUACUGACAGCAAGGACGGUGGCCAUGGAAGUCGAACCGCUAAGGAGUGUGUUAACAACUCACCUGCCGAAUCAACCAGCCCUGAAAAAUGGAUGGCGCUGGAGCGUCGGGCCCUAUACCGUGCCGUUGGGCGAAGCAGACAAAUAAUCUGUGUGGAUGUCCCAACGAAGUAGGAGGGUCGCCGUGGUGAGCGGCGCAGAAAGGUGCGGCCGUGAGGCCGGCUGGAGCCGCCACGGGCGCAGCAGAUCUUCUGUGUAGUAGCAAUUAACUCAAGUGAGAACCUUGAGGACUGAAGUGGAGAAGGUUCCAUGUGAACAGCAGUUGAACAUGGGUCAGGCGGUCCUAAGCGAUCGGGUAACUCCGUACCUAGACGAGGUGACAACUAUCACUGAUAAUACUGUGAAAGUGUUUAUAGCCCUCCGGAGCGAAAGGGAAUCGUGUUAAUAUUCACGAACCCUUACCGUGGAGAUCGCCCCUUUCGGGGGGCAAGUGCGGUAACGCAAACGAACACAGAGACGUCGGCUGGAGCCCCGCCGGGAAGAGUUCUCUUUUCUUUGUAAGGAGCGUACCCCUGGAAUCGGCUUGUCCGGAGAUAGGGGCGUGGCUUCCGUAAAGCAGCGCGGUCUUGCGCUGUCCGGUGCACUCUAGUCGGCGCCUUGAAAUCUGUGGAGAGACAGUGUGAUUUUCACGGUAGGCCGUACCCAUAUCCGGCAGCAGCAGUCUCCAAGGUGAACAGCCUCUAGUCCUAGAACAAUGUAGGUAAGGAAGUCGGCAAAAUGGAUCCGUAACUUCGGGAAAAGGAUUGGCUCUGAGGGCUGGGUCGGAUGGGCUGGCGUAAGAAGCUGUUCGGGUUUUGGUGAGGACUGGGCGAGGCUUUCGGGCUUUACUCGGACCAUGCCCGAGACCAGCAGGCAGUAGACGACGUCAGCUGUGCUUGUCGUGUUUACGGCGCGGAACAGCUUCGUCCGGCAACAAAACAGCCAACUCAGAACUGGCACGGACUAGGGGAAUCCGAACUGUCUAAUUAAAACAAAGCAUUGCGAUGGCUGUUGCUCGUGUUGACGCAAUGUGAUUUCUGCCCAGUGCUCUGAAUGUCAAAGUGAAGAUUCAAUUCAAGCGCGGUAAACGGCGGAAGUAACUAUGACUCUCUUAAAGGUAGCCAAAAUGCCUCGUCAUCUAAUUUAAAGUGACGCGGCGCAUGAAUGGAUUAAGCGAGAUUCCGGCACUGUCCGGCUAUCUACUAUCUAGGCGAAAAACCACAGCCAAGGGAACGGCUUGGCAGAAUCAGCGGGGAAAGAAGAACGCCUGUUGAGGCUGAGCUGACUCUAGUCCGACUUUGUGAAGAGACAUGAGAGGUGUAGUAUGGUGGGAGUUCGUCAGCGACCUUCUGAAAAUACGCACUACUUUUAUCGUUUUCUUUACUUAAUUCAGCAGUGAAGCGGCGGAGCGGCCUAUCACGGGCCUCGUUUCUUGCGUGUUAAACGGCCUGGCCCUCGCGCCGCCGUGACUGCUCUGAAGUACAGUGUCAGGCGGGAGUUUGACUGGGGGCGGUACAAUCUGUCAAAAAGGUAACGCAGGUGUCCCAAGGAUGAAGCUCAGUCAGGACAGAAACCUGGCGUAGAGCAAAAGGGCAAAAAGCUCAUUUGAUUUUGAUUUUUCAGUAACGAAAUACAGACCGUGAAAGCGGCGGCCUAUCGAUCCCUUUGAUUAACAGAGUUUGAUGCAAGGGUGUUAUCGAUUUGGGGUGUUUCAGAAAAGUUACCACAGGGAUAACUGGGCUUGUGGCGGCCAAGCGUUCAUAGCGAGCGUCGCUUUUUGAUCCUUCGAUGUCGCUCUUCGCUAUCAUUGUGAAAGCAAAUUCAACCAAGUAAGGGCGGUUGGAUUUGUUCACGCGCACGCAAUAGGGAACGUGAGCUGGGUUUUAAGACCGUCGUGAGACCAGGUUAGUUUUACCCUAAGCUGAUGUCUUGUCGUUGCUAUUUGAGGGGGUAAUCCUGCUUAGUACGAGAGAACCGCAGGUCAAAGACAUUUGGUUUAUGUGCUGUCGAAAAGACCAAUGGUGCGAAGCUAACAUUGAGGGAUUAAGACUGAAAAGCCCCUUAGUCUCGAAUCCCGCCCAGAAAUGCAAUCGAAAUACUAUCGUGCCCCUACGCCGGGAGGCAACGAUAUACUCGGCCCGAAAAUCCGAUUCGACGGCGGCCGAGACUGGCUAAAGCACUGCUGAUACUGGCCACUACGCCCCGCUGUCUGAAAUUUGGCAAGUGGAGGCAACAGACUACGAUACCACUGAUGAUUGAGACGUAGGGGUUCUAUAUCGUUUGUAACGACUUAGAUCUCGGUCGGGGUCCGUAACUUAGUUGAAAGCAGUUCUUCAAGCUGCGAUCUAUUGAGGCUAAGCCUUUGACGGGAGAUAUGU
rnacentral:rRNA from 1 species